GUAGUCAUAUGCUUGUCUCGCAGCUUAAGCCAUGCAUGUCUAAGUGUAAAUGCUUUAUAGUGAAACUGCGAAUGGCUCAUUAAAACAGUAAUUGUUUGCUUGGAAACAAUCCGACUUUCGGAUACCUGCGGCAAUUCUACAGCUAAUACGUGACGGCUUUCUCGGAAGCGGUGCAUGUUAAUUAGGACAAUCGGUAGAGGUUACUUUACCUUGAAAGAACACCUUCAUGCGUGAAUCGUGUUACGAUACGAAUGUCCAUCGAAGUUUCUGACCUAUCAGGCUCCGACGGUUGGGUAUUGGCCAACUGUGCCUAUAACGGGUGACGGGGGAUUAGGGUUUGAUUCCGGAGAGGGAGCAUGAGAGAUGGCUACCACAUCUAAGGAAGGCAGCAGGCGCGCAAAUUACCUAUCUUUAACACGGAGAGGUAGUAAACAGAAAUAAUGACGCGCGAUCUUUAUUGUGCGAUCGGAAUGGAUAGCUUGUAAACAAGGCUAUGAAAUCAACUAGAGGGCAAGUCUGGUGCCAGCAGCCGCGGUAAUUCCAGCUCUAAUAGCGUAUAUUAAAGUUGUUGCAGUUAAAACGUUCGUAGUCUACCUCUGUCUGCGCGGUUGAUUGGGGGCCUAUGGCGUUCCAAGCAUUUCCGACAGAGAGUAUGCAGCUUUCGCCGGGCAUGCUUCAUGUACGGACGCAGGUUGCAUUGUACUUUGAGUGAAUCGACGUGUUUCACGCAGAUUAAUGUCUUGGACGAUCUACCAUGGUAUAAAAAUAGUUUGAAUAUGCCACGUUGGUUGUUUCGAGGUGCAUUCUACUGCCAAAAGAACGGUUGAGGGCAUUCGUAUUCAACUGCCAGAGGUGAAAUUCUUUGAUUAGUUGAGGACGACCUACUGCGAAAGCAUUUGCCAAAGACCUUUCUUCUGAUCAAGAACGAAAGUUAGGUGACCGAAGAUGAUUAGAUACCGUCGUAGUCGUAACUAUAAACGUUGCUAACCGAGCGCCGGUGUGGUUUUAAUAUGCUAUUUCGGAACUUUUUGAGAAAUCAUGAGUCUCUAAGUUCUGGGGGGAGUAUAGUGCAAGGCCGAAACUUAAAGGAAUGACGGAAGAAUCGUCGACUGAAAGUCCU
rnacentral:rRNA from 1 species